UGACUGCUUCCAGAGUGGCCCACUCUGACA
rnacentral:piRNA from 1 species